rnacentral:piRNA from 1 species
UGCUGCAUUCAUAUCCUGGGAUGCAUGUGU